rnacentral:rRNA from 1 species
GAUGAACGCUGGCGGCGUGCUUAACACAUGCAAGUCGAACGAAGCACUUUAUUUGAUUUCCUUCGGGACUGAUUAUUUUGUGACUGAGUGGCGGACGGGUGAGUAACGCGUGGGUAACCUGCCUUGUACAGGGGGAUAACAGCUGGAAACGGCUGCUAAUACCGCAUAAGCGCACGGCAUCGCAUGAUGCAGUGUGAAAAACUCCGGUGGUAUAAGAUGGACCCGCGUUGGAUUAGCUAGUUGGGGAGGUAACGGCACGCCAAGGCGACGAUCCAUAGCCGACCGGAGAGGGGGACCGGCGACAUUGGGACUGAGACACGACCCAAACUCCUACGGGAAGCAGCGGUGGGGAAUAUUGCACAAUGGGCGAGAGGCUGAUGCAGCGACGCCGCGUGAGCGAAGAAGUAUUUCGGUAUGUAAAGCUCUAUCAGCAGGGAAGAUAAUGACGGUACCUGACUAAGAAGCACCGGCUAAAUACGUG